UACAGAGGGUGCAAGCGUUGUUCGGAAUUAUUGGGCGUAAAGCGCGUGUAGGCGGCUUUGCAAGUCGGGUGUGAAAUCCCUCAGCUCAACUGAGGAAGUGCGCCCGAAACUGCAGAGCUUGAGUACCAGAGAGGAUGGCGGAAUUCCCCAAGAGAGGAUGAAAUUCGUAGAUAUGGGGAGGAACACCGGUGGCGAAGGCGGCCAUCUGGAUGGAUACUGACGCUGAGACGCGAAAGCGUGGGUAGCAAACAGGA
rnacentral:rRNA from 1 species